ensembl:lncRNA
CCGAUACCAGAAAAAAAAAGUCAACAUAUUAAAUAAAUGUGCAGCCCAAAUAAAAAACCCACUUCGGGCAAACAGCUGUGGCCUCACACUGCCUACUAGCAGACACUGCUCGACCCUUGAGUUGAAUAAAAUAUUAUUUUUGUCUGAGCUCUGAAAUAAGCACAGUUUUGCCAAGUGGCAGUAUUGUAGGCAAUGAGAUUUAUCCCAGUCUCGAUUAUUGCUAAUUGAAACAAGCAGACUUGCCUCUAGAUCUAAGAGAUCAGAACUGUGAGAUUCAUUAAAAAUUAAUUUUUUACCUUCACAUUUCUCACAAAUUACAUUUUUCUGGAGGGCCAGUUUCUUGGUGACACCAUUGUGCAAGUCUUCCAAAGUUACAGACAACUGAUGCAGACAUUCUUGGCUUACAAGGGAGAAAAACCAGUUAGUAAUAGUGCAAGAAACAGACUGCAGUGUUGAAUUCCACCCACAUGACCCUGCACUGGCAGCAACCAGGAAGAUACCCCUACCACUGCCACUGAAAAGAACCAUUUUGCCAACCUGCCACCUGCCACCCCGGGUCUUACAGAAACCAGCUGCAGAGGAGACAGAUACAGACUCCACACAGAGCAGCCUGCUGUGUGACAACAAACACAGGCCACCUGACACUUAGCAACACGGGACAACAGGGCAAAAACAAAGACCAACACCCACGGCCUUCUCAGUUGUCUCAGUGCAAGGUGAAAAAGGAUCAGCUUAAUCUAUUUUUGAAGAGACAUUAAUAAUGCAGUGACAAAUUCAGGGGGAAAAAAUAAAAAGGUUCCACUGGUGACAAUACAGUCACAAAGUUAGGUGAAGAAAAAAAUUAGAAGUUCUGUCUGCAACCACAUAAAUACCCUCACAGUAAAGAAAAGUUUUGCACAGUGUGCCCAGCCUAGACAGUCGGUGCUUGGCCAGGCCCUCCCUGGGGAGCUGGGCAGCAGGUACAUGGUCCCCCCAUUUCCUUAUCCCCUUUGAUUCCAAUGCAAAUGCCCACUGAUCCCCCAGCCCCCUCCUCUCUGCAAUCUCCUUCUAAUCCGAGUCGUUAUGCAGCUCCUCCUCCACACACACACACACACACACACACACACACACACACACACACAGACUGUGUUAAGGUGCAUCUCUCCUGCUUACCUUGUUAUUCACCACCCAACCACCCAUCGUUAGUAUCCCAUGGCACCGCCAGAAACAUGCUGCCCGUAGUGGGCACAGGUAGAGAACCAGUAGCCACCAUGAAAGCCAACAAGGACUGAGCCAGAGGCAGCCUCCAGGAAGGUGUCUUGGCUGGCAUUAAGUGAAAGGUCUCGUCCCUUUUGUGGAAGGGAGGGAAGGAAAGCAUUCCUGGUGUUAGGCACAUCACAAACCCCCCUAAACGCAAGAGGGGCUGCUGAACCUCAUUGCUAAGUGCUUCACUAGCUUGACAUGAAUUCAAGGCUUGGCUAGAAAUAAAUAUUAAUUUCAAACCAAGCGAACAACCUGCCCGGACAGGCAUCUACUGGGUGAAAGCUAUGCACGUGUAAAGGGCAGAUCUACUCUUUUUUUUUAAGCUUCAGACCCCAAGAGCAC